UUGACAGUUUGGCUUCCCUGUUCUGGGUGGCAAAGCCUGUGGAGUACUCACCUACCUGCUGCAUGAAGGCAGCAUGGAGGGACUGUGGUGGAUUAUCUGCAAAGAUGGCCAAAAUUCUCUCAUCCCUGCAGGCACAUACAAGAUGCCAGAAUCAGUCAAAACUAAGCUCACUGUCCUUGCUAAUAUUCUGCCCCAGAGAAGAACUGAAGCUCAGCUCUUCACCCUACAGAAAGCCUGAAUUUUGUAAAUGUUCUGCUUAGAAUGAGGAAGAAAGAUGAAGAAUGAGGAGGAAGAAGGAAGGAACGAGAGAGAGCCAGGUUUCCAGAAGUUCCCCAGUCAUUGAGCAUUUCUGAGGCUCUUGAUGCAUAUGCCAAGUAGUUAUGGAGAAAGACACAGCAGCUUACCUCUGCAGGCAUCAUUGUGUGAAAGGAAGACCCAGGCUCUCUCACCACCCUUGAACAGAAGCCUUUUGCUAAGGUGAUAGCUACAUGUCCAAGCCUAUUGCGUGGCAUGCAUUUUGCCUUCUGCAGCCCACUAAAGGAAAUUGAAGUAUACAGAAUGCUUAUUUGGUCUACUCAGUAUCAUCCUAAAUGUAUGUACCAAUGCUUAGGAGUUU
rnacentral:lncRNA from 1 species